UUCAUUCCCCUCGAUUAAUUUUAUUUUCUGAAAAUUGGCUCAAACUAUCUGACUUACAUGUACACUAUAUUGCCUCUUGAUUUUGUGACUUUUCUAUGCAAGCUAUUAUUGUCUAAACAGAUGCGUUAUUUAUGCUAGGCUUUUUGAGACAAUCGUCAAUGGGAGAAGCUGCUAAUGAAUUCCUUUAUAGUGCUUUGGACGUGAACUCAUGCUUCGACUGUCAUAAAAAUUACGAUGCUCUUCCCAGGGUUCUUGCAAUCUUCACUUUCAGCUUGAGUUGUU